GGUGGGAGAAGUCCGGAAGAGAUUCGGAGAAUAGUUGAUUACUGUAGAAGAUCGGCUGAUAGUGAAGCUCGGAGAGUGUUUGGAGCGGCCCGGUAGAUGAAUGGAGAGGCUCAUUGUCGGAGAAGUCCGAAUGGCAUUAUGGAAGCUCGGACGGUUGAGGGGGUUCAGAGAGACACCACACAAGGUCGGAAGCUAGAAAAGCCCUAGAGGGGUCGGUUUUUUACAAACUUCGAUCGGGGGGUAUUUUAUACCCAAC
rnacentral:lncRNA from 1 species